UACGGAGGGAGCUAGCGUUGUUCGGAAUUACUGGGCGUAAAGCGCGCGUAGGCGGCUUUGUAAGUUAGAGGUGAAAGCCCGGAGCUCAACUCCGGAACUGCCUUUAAAACUGCAUCGCUUGAAUCCAGGAGAGGUGAGUGGAAUUCCGAGUGUAGAGGUGAAAUUCGUAGAUAUUCGGAAGAACAUCAGUGGCGAAGGCGGCUCACUGGACUGGUAUUGACGCUGAGGUGCGAAAGCGUGGGGAGCAAACAGG
rnacentral:rRNA from 1 species